GGUAGCUUGCUNCCUNNCCUAGCGGCGGACGGGUGAGUAAUGCUUAGGAAUCUGCCUAUUAGUGGGGGACAACAUUCCGAAAGGAAUGCUAAUACCGCAUACGCCCUACGGGGGAAAGCAGGGGAUCUUCGGACCUUGCGCUAAUAGAUGAGCCUAAGUCAGAUUAGCUAGUUGGUGGGGUAAAGGCCUACCAAGGCGACGAUCUGUAGCGGGUCUGAGAGGAUGAUCCGCCACACUGGGACUGAGACACGGCCCAGACUCCUACGGGAGGCAGCAGUGGGGAAUAUUGGACAAUGGGCGAAAGCCUGAUCCAGCCAUGCCGCGUGUGUGAAGAAGGCCUUUUGGUUGUAAAGCACUUUAAGCGAGGAGGAGGCUACUUGGAUUAAUACUCUAGGAUAGUGGACGUUACUCGCAGAAUAAGCACCGGCUAACUCUGUGCCAGCAGCCGCGGUAAUACAGAGGGUGCGAGCGUUAAUCGGAUUUACUGGGCGUAAAGCGUGCGUAGGCGGCUUCUUAAGUCGGAUGUGAAAUCCCUGAGCUUAACUUAGGAAUUGCAUUCGAUACUGGGAAGCUAGAGUAUGGGAGAGGAUGGUAGAAUUCCNGGUGUAGCGGUGAAAUGCGUAGAGAUCUGGAGGAAUACCGAUGGCGANGGCAGCCAUCUGGCCUAAUACUGACGCUGANGUACGAAAGCAUGGGGAGCAAACAGGAUUAGNUACCCUGGUAGUCCAUGCCGUAAACNAUGUNUACUANCCG
rnacentral:rRNA from 1 species